AGUCACUUAAAUAAAUCAUUCUGUAUAUAAGAAUAGUCCAGUUUGUUAACUACUUAGAACGCAUUCCGAAGACGUUCGAGUUAUACAAGACGUUUAAGUAUGCACUGCAGCUCUGGAGUAGAGCAUAUAAUAGUAAUCUCGAGUAGAAAUACUAAUCCGUCACCGUCAUGGCAACACUGUGAUGAGUUUUUGCUACACAAAAUACAUAAUCUUUAUACAGGAAAGCCAAAUCCAUUCACACAAUCACUAAUUCGUCACUCAUUUUGGAAAUUCGAUACAUAAAGGGUAACUCAUGAAUGAAUUUGGCAAUUCAAAUACGAUAUUAUUUAGGUUUUUGAUUAUUAUACUUUAGUUAGAUUAGGAAAGGUUAGCUAUU